GGACGAACGCUGGCGGCGUGCCUAACACAUGCAAGUCGAGCGGGGAUUAUCGAAUGAAGUUUUCGGAUGGAUUUUGGUAAUUCUAGCGGCGGACGGGUGAGUAACGCGUGAGUAACCUGCCUAUCACUGGGGAAUAACGCACCGAAAGGUGUGCUAAUACCGCAUGAGACCACAGAGGGACAUCCCACAGGGGUCAAAGAUUCAUCGGUGAUAGAUGGGCUCGCGUCUGAUUAGCUAGUUGGUGGGGUAACGGCCCACCAAGGCGACGAUCAGUAGCCGGACUGAGAGGUUGACCGGCCACAUUGGGACUGAGAUACGGCCCAGACUCCUACGGGAGGCAGCAGUGGGGAAUAUUGGGCAAUGGACGCAAGUCUGACCCAGCAACGCCGCGUGAAGGAAGAAGGCCCUCGGGUUGUAAACUUUUUGAUCGGGGACGAAUAAUGACGGUACCCGAAAAACAAGUCACGGCUAACUACGUG
rnacentral:rRNA from 1 species